GUUUCCUUUCCUUGGCGGCCUCAAUGGAAACUCCCUCCUCCCUUCUGUUGCCCGGGCUGCGCCGGGCUAUUUAUACAGCUUGGCGCUGCCGUCACGGAGAGCCGUUUCGCUGACGAGGGAUUGACGCUCUUGGCUACCGGAGCCGGGCUUGCGGUUACAAUGGGCGCUUUGUGUGAAGCGACUCGGGGGCUUGGAAGAAACGGCGGGGAAGGAAGACCGUCGCCUUUUGGCCGCCCGUUUGCACCCCGAAACCUUCCUCAGAAGAGGCGCCGCGGCGAGAGCCCCCUGGAGGUAGCCGCUUGCCUCUGAGGCGAAAGGUUACGCCCGGGAAGGAGUUUAGCGACUGGUUUAGAGAAGAAAGGGGGCGCGGGAAGCGGGCAUUGACCAGAAAAGCCCGGGCUUCUGGCGGAGCCCAGGAAAAGGCCAUUAUCACAGCCUUUCUGGUUUGAUUUUGUUGUCUAUCUUGAAAUUUUCUUCAUGCAAGAUCCUGGGGGAAAGCUCAUAACGGAGUGCAUCUUAAAUUGACAAUCAAUAUUCUCAGCUCUAAUAUGGGUAAGGUUACCUACGCCAUUUCUUCUGAAACAACAUUUGAAGACUUUUUUUCAUUUUCAGAACACUUAGAAUCAGUUUGCAUUAAACUAAGAGAAAUUGCUUGUUUAUUAUGAACAUUACAAACAAAAAUAAUUAUUAUUUAUAACAACAAGCUGCAUCAUCCGUAUUUCAUUUAUUCUUGGUAUAUAAAUUAACUUGGUUGGUGUGAGAAGUAGCAUUUUAUUCAUUUUGAUAUAUUCCUAAUCAUAGUAUUUCCCAUGUACUAGAAAUAAAAAUCUCUGUGCCUCAA